UACGAAGGUGGCAAGCGUUACUCGGAAUUACUAGGCGUAAAGGGCAGGUAGGUGGUUUGGUAAGUCUGUUGUGAAAUUUCCCGGCUUAACUGGGAAGGGUCAACAGAUACUGCCAGACUUGAGUAUAGGAGAGGGUACUGGAAUUCCCGGUGUAGCGGUGAAAUGCGCAGAGAUCGGGAGGAACACCAAUGGCGAAAGCAGGUACCUGGACUAUUACUGACACUCAGCUGCGAAAGCUAGGGGAGCAAACAGG
rnacentral:rRNA from 1 species